rnacentral:rRNA from 1 species
AUUGAACGCUGGCGGCAGGCCUAACACAUGCAAGUCGAGCGGAGCGGCGGACGGGUGAGUAAUGUCUAGGAAUCUGCCCGGUAGUGGUGGAUAACGUCCGGAAACGGGCGCUAAUACCGCAUCCUAUCAGACUAGCCUAGGUCGGAUUAGCUAGUUGGUGGGGUAAAGGCCUACGAAGGCGACGAUCCGUAACUGGUCUGAGAGGAUGAUCAGUAACCCUGGAACUGAGGCACGGUCCAGACUCCUACAGGAGGCAGCAGUGGGGAAUAUUGGACAAUGGGCGAAAGCGUGAUCCAGACAUGCCGCGUGUGUGAAGAAGGUCUUCGGAUUGUAAAGCACUUUGAGUGGGGGCGCGUUACCAGCAGAAAAAGCACCGUCGAACGUCGUACCAGCAGCCGCGGUAAUUC